UGGUUUGAUUCUGGCUCAGGAUGAACGCUGGCGGCAUGCCUAAUACAUGCAAGUCGAACGGAGUGAAGCCUUCGGGUUUCAUUCAGUGGCGAACGGGUGAGUAAUACGCAGGGAACCUGGCCAUGGCAGGGGGAUACACUCUGGAAACGGAGCAUAAGACCCCAUAGGCAGUAAGGCGGCAUCGCCUUACUGUUAAAGAAAGCUGAAAGGCUUUGGCGAUGGAUGGACCUGCGGUGCAUUAGCUUGUUGGUGAGGCAACGGCUUACCAAGGCGAUGAUGCAUAGCCGGCCUGAGAGGGCGGACGGCCACACUGGGACUGAGACACGGCCCAGACUCCUGCGGGAGGCAGCAGUAGGGAAUUUUCGUCAAUGGGCGCAAGCCUGAACGAGCAAUGCCGCGUGAGUGAGGAAGGUCUUCGGACUGUAAAGCUCUGUUGCCGGGGAAAAAGGGGAAAUGCAGGAAAUGGCAUUUCAUGGAUGGUACCCGGCCAGAAAGCCACGGCUAACUACGUGCCAGCAGCCGCGGUAAUACGUAGGUGGCGAGCGUUAUCCGGAAUGAUUGGGCGUAAAGGGUGCGCAGGCGGUCUGUUAAGUCUGAAGGCAAAGGGAUGAGCUCAACUCAUUUAUGAUUCAGAAACUGGCAGACUUGAGGACAGGAGAGGGCGGUGGAACUCCAUGUGUAGCGGUAAAAUGCGCAGAGAUAUGGAAGAACACCAGUGGCGAAGGCGGCCGCCUGGCCUGUGACUGACGCUGAGGCACGAAAGCGUGGGGAGCAAAUAGGAUUAGAUACCCUAGUAGUCCACGCCGUAAACGAUGAGGAGCAGGUGUUGGGAGUGAAAUCUCAGUGCCGAAGCCAACGCAGUGACUCCUCCGCCUGGGGAGUAUGCACGCAAGUGUGAAACUCAAAGGAAUUGACGGGGGCCCGCACAAGCGGUGGAGUAUGUGGUUUAAUUCGAAGCAACGCGAAGAACCUUACCAGGUUUUGACAUCGGAUGCGAAGGUGCAGAGAUGCGCUGGAGGUUAACAUCCAGACAGGUGGUGCAUGGUUGUCGUCAGCUCGUGUCGUGAGAUGUUCAGUUAAGUCUGGCAACGAGCGCAACCCCCGUGGUAUGUUACUAACGCUUAGGGCGAGGACUCAUAUCAGACUGCCGGUGACAAACCGGAGGAAGGCGGGGAUGACGUCAAAUCAUCAUGCCCCUUAUGACCUGGGCUACACACGUACUACAAUGGCGUCUACAGAGGGAAGCGACCCUGAGAAGGGAAGCGAAACCGGAAAAGGGCGUCCCAGUUCGGAUUGAAGUCUGCAACCCGACUUCAUGAAGAUGGAAUCGCUAGUAAUCGCGGAUCAGCAUGCCGCGGUGAAUACGUUCCCGGGCCUUGUACACACCGCCCGUCAAACCAUGGAAGCCGGCAACGCCCGAAGCCGGUGGCAUAACCUUUUAGGAGUGAGCCGUCGAAGGCGGGGCCGAUGACUGGGGUUAAGUCGUAACAAGGUAUCC
rnacentral:rRNA from 1 species